rnacentral:rRNA from 1 species
CCCUUAGAUGUCCUGGGCCGCACGCGCGCUACACUGAUGCAUGCAACGAGUUUAUAACCUUGGCCUGAAAGGUCUGGGUAAUCUUUUGAACGUGCAUCGUGAUAGGGAUAGAUUAUUGCAAUUGUUAAUCUUGAACGAGGAAUUCCUAGUAAACGCGAGUCAUCAGCUCGCAUUGAUUACGUCCCUGCCCUUUGUACACACCGCCCGUCGCACCUACCGAUUGAAUGGUUCGGUGAAGAUCUCGGACUUCGAUAUUUAUUCUUUAUUGAGUUUAUAUUGUGGGAAGUUAUCUAAACCUCAUCAGUUAGAGGAAGGUGAAGUCGUAACA